rnacentral:rRNA from 1 species
AUUGAACGCUGGCGGCAUGCCUUACACAUGCAAGUCGAACGGUAACGGGCCUUCGGGUGCCGACGAGUGGCGAACGGGUGAGUAAUACAUCGGAACGUGCCCGAUCGUGGGGGAUAACGAGGCGAAAGCUUUGCUAAUACCGCAUACGAUCUACGGAUGAAAGCAGGGGACCGCAAGGCCUUGCGCGGACGGAGCGGCCGAUGGCAGAUUAGGUAGUUGGUGGGAUAACAGCUUACCAAGCCGACGAUCUGUAGCUGGUCUGAGAGGAUGAUCAGCCACACUGGGACGGAGACACGGCCCAGACUCCUGCGGGAGGCAGCAGGGGGGAAUUUUGGACAAUGGGCGAAAGCCUGACCGAGCAAUGCCGCGGGAGGGAUGAGGGCCUUCGGUUUGAAAACUGUUUUUAUAGGGAAAGAAAAAUUUUUUUUAAAACCAGGGGGGUCAUGACGGUACCGAAAAAAAAAGCCCCGGCUAACUACGUG